UAUUUGCUAAACCACACCCAAAACGUCAUAUCCGGCCGUAAUACACGUAUAAAAUUACAUUGAAAACCCUGUUUGGGACAGCCAGCACUGGCCGGUAACCGGAAUAGCGAGUGGCCGUACUUCAGGGUGAGUUUUGUGCAGUAAACAUAUAGCUAGCAUUCCGUGCCAAGCCAAAUGGCCGGUAUAUCGAGGUGGCCGUACUUCAGGGAGCCGGAAUAGCGAGAGUCUAGACUACUGUAUCUUGUAUGACAAUAUGCAUGUGCAUGCAAUGUUCACGAUUAAAUGUGGCAAAAAUACUUUCCCCUUACCACCUCCGGUGAACGAAGCGUAGUUACAAGAUCAUCGAUUCUUUUCACCUGCCCAAUCAUGUCAACCCAGAGUGCAAAGAAAAGUAUCCCCCCAAAAUUCUUAAAGAAAAAUUUCCAGCUGCAAACACCCAAGCUGGAGAGCAGACUUUUGUGUGGUUGGGAAGGUUUAAGCACAUUGUAUGUGCAAUGUCCAAAGAGCACCACUUGUUUUAUCUGCAUGCAAAGGAUGGUUCGCCACAGGAACAUGUAUAUACUGCAAGAUGCUACAAAACUGGAAGGAAGCCAAUUAAUUUUAUCAAAAUCAUCAGACACUCGUACACUAAACUAAAUUUUCACUCAAGAUCUCAGAUGCUGCAUGUACAUAUUACUAAUGUAUAGAACUAAAAUCUAUAGUAGAAACAGAGAUAAUCUCUGGUAGAACAACGUAGACAUGUAUAUUGUAGCCUGCAUGUGUAUCAUUUAUCAACUGAAUUUAUUACUUCUCACCUUCUUUACUGAUGAUUACAUGAUUGAUUACAUGAUCCAUAAGAAUUGCAUAGACAUACAUGAUACGUCUAGAUAGAUUGCUAUGGUUCUACAUCAGUGUCAUGGAAAAUUACUGACAAAAGUCAUCACUAGACAAGACUGCACCCACUGGUCUAUCGCAAAUGUAGCCUCGAUUCGUCUCCAAUUGAACGCUAGGUCGCUUCCUCGGCCUGUUAUUGAUUGUAUCUGGGCGUGUAUCUGGGCAUGUGCUGUGGUUGCUCAGAUAUUCGCUCGAAAAGAGCGAAUACCUGAGCAAGGUGGAGCGAAUAGAAACACUAAUAGUGUAUGUAAGCAUACUUACUCCGUAAAAUCACCGUUAAAUCACAAAGAACUCCGUGUCAUAGGAGGUCUAUUCUUUGCAAGUUUAGUUUGUCAUAGAUAUAGGCUUAGCUAGAGUGUGAGGAGCUGUCUUGUGCGAAGGAAGAAGGAGCAUCACUCUUGUGAAAGAACAGACCUAGGUUCUCAAGUUUCUGCUAUCAGUUGGCUACCUUUGAUUGACUACACAAUUUAAUACAAGCGCUUGAUUAGACCAUUGAUUGCCAAAUACACUUGGUAGAGUCUAUCCUCAGACUCUGGCCAUCGAUAUCUUGUAUAUACUAUGCUCAGGGGUGUCCACAAGUGGCUGGGCCUGGGAUGUAUUGUCAAGCCUAUAGUCCAAUCCUUGGUAUCUGUAUCAAGAUAUGACAUUACGGCACUGGCACUGGUGUUGUGUUAGCCUCCUUCACCGGCCUUCAAGGAAGUGCGGCCUGGGAUCGAGGCUAGUUUUGUGUGGACCAUCACUGAGCAAAAUGGAACCUUCCCCUCCAACCCCUGUCGUACUCCUCCUAGCUGAUGGGUGCGAACACAUUGAAAGAGGAUGCCCAGUGCCACUCGUGUCCUUCCCAUGGGGCCGAUCUUAUAGAACUACCUGCACUAAAACUACUGACAUGGAAUGGCUCUUUCAACACUUGUGGUUGCUAUCCUGACCAGUGACGUCAGGAUUCUACUGUCUCUUGAUGCACUGUGAACACACAAUCUUUGUUAUGCCACCUGAAGGCCUAGCAGGCAUAUCCAACGCAGUAUUUAUUAAGUCUUUCUGGAAGCUCCUGUUUGAGAUCUUCGCUUCUAAACAUCUGCAUUUAUUAUAGACGCAGUACUGCUGUGCACUCUACAGAGUAUUAAU